GGGCAUGUGGUGUAAUUGGUUGCAUACGGGACUCAUUGUCCGGCACCCGGGGUUGUCGGUUCGAAUCCGGCCAUGUCCA